UACAGAGGGCUCAACCGUUGUUCGGAUUCAUUGGGCGUAAAGGGUGCGUAGGCGGUCGUGCAAGUCGGAUGUGAAAUCUCAGGGCUCAACCCUGAAACUGCAUUCGAUACUGCGCGGCUAGAGUGCUGGAGGGGAGACUGGAAUUUACGGUGUAGCAGUGAAAUGCGUAGAUAUCGUAAGGAAGACCAGUGGCGAAGGCGAGUCUCUGGACAGCAACUGACGCUGAGGCACGAAGGCCAGGGGAGCAAACGGG
rnacentral:rRNA from 1 species